rnacentral:lncRNA from 1 species
CAAGGGUAUUGUGAUCUUUGUGAUCACCUAUCACAAGAAGUGAAAUCUAUAGGCUAUUCUAUAUAGAAAUCUUCAAAAGAUCUCUACUCAGAAAAGCUAUUUCAUAUUCUUUCUUGGAGUCGAUGUCUCACAUCAUCUCGUUGUAGGUUUUGGGAUCAUCUCUAUGUUCUCUAUCUCCUAUGAGAAAUAAUUUUCUCUACAUCCUCUGUUAA